AAGGCCUUCGGGUCGUAAAACUCUUUUCUGAGGGAAGAACAUCCCGCGUAGGAAAUGACGCGGGUUUGACGGUACCUCAGGAAUAAGCAACGGCUAACUCCGUGC
rnacentral:rRNA from 1 species